rnacentral:rRNA from 1 species
UCGGGAAUUUUGGGCAAUGGGCGAAAGCCUGACCCAGCAACGCCGCGUGAGGGAUGAAGUAUUUCGGUAUGUAAACCUCGAAAGAAUGGGAAGAAUAAAUGACGGUACCAUUUAUAAGCUCCGGCUAACUACGUGCCAGCAGCCGCGGUAAUACGUAGGGAGCAAGCGUUGUUCGGAUUUACUGGGCGUAAAGGGCGCGUAGGCGGCGCGGUAAGUCACUUGUGAAAUCUCUGAGCUUAACUCAGAACGGCCAAGUGAUACUGCUGUGCUAGAGUGCGGAAGAGGCAACCGGAAUUCAUGGUGUAGCGGUGAAAUGCGUAGAUAUCAAGAGGAACACCUGAGGCGAAGGCGGGUUGCUGGGCCGACACUGACGCUGAUGCGCGAAAGCCAGGGGAGCAAACG